rnacentral:rRNA from 1 species
UCUUUGGAGGUGAUCGAAGAGAUCCUCGGGAAGAAGGUGCGUGUCGACCGCCUCGACAGCAGGACGCAGGAGCGCGGCCACACGAAGACCUUUGCCUGCUGGGUCUGGACCAACGACGUCGCCCACAUCCCCACCAAGCACACGCUCGGGGUCCUGCCGCGCGGCGCGGGCCGCGUCAAGGAGAUGCAGGGCUACUCUCCGCCUGACCGGCGCGUCGCUCCUCCGCCAGGCACCACGGACUACACCAUGCUCAUCCACGUCUAUAGGGUUGAAGAUUGGACGCCUCCAUCGCCGCACUCCUCCCACUCCGCCCAGAGCGGGAUGCCGUCCUCCGACUCCGACACCGACGACCGGCCCCGCUUCACUGUGAUCCCCGCCUCUUGGACCAUGGAGGUCGAGGACGGCCAGCGGGGUGACCGACCCCAGCGCCUUGGGCGUGCCCUGGUGGCUGACCUGGGCUGCCGCGGCAUGCCACGCGGCGGGCACGACCACGACGAUGCUGGUGGAGCUGGUGGGGGGGGCGCCUCUCCUGGAAGGACGCCCUACUUCGCCGGGGGCGCACGCCGUCCCUGCCGGUGCCAAGGCCCGCCCCACGCCACCGCAGCCGAUCCCCUCCUGCGAGACGCCACCACAAGCAUGUGCACGGUCGCCGCUCGAGCGACAGAAGGCCUCCAGCAGGCGACGCCCAGCUGCACCAGCGCAGGCCUUCUGCCCCCCGCUCACCACGGAAGACACCAGGCUCCAAGGCAACAGAAGACGCCAGCGACAGCAACAAAGGGAAGGAUCCGGUCGACGAUUUCUUCAAGACAGCAAAGCGACCCACCCUCGCGUCGGUGA